AAUCCAUGUUGUGGGCAUUUCUGCGAGGGAGCUCCUUGAACCUUUCCCACGUCUCAAAUAGAGACUCCAAUUCCGACUGUACAAAAGAAGAGAUCUCAUUCCUUAGCUU